rnacentral:rRNA from 1 species
AAUCAACGCUGGCGGCGUGCCUCAGACAUGCAAGUCGAACGAUUAAAGCUCUCUUCGGAGAGUGCAUAAAGUGGCGCACGGGUGAGUAACACGUAAGUAAUCUACCUUCGAGUGGGGAAUAACGUCCGGAAACGGACGCUAAUACCGCAUAACGCAGCGGCAUCGCAAGAUGACAGUUGUUAAGAUUUAUCGCUUGAAGAGGAGCUUGCGGCAGAUAGCUUGUUGGUAAGGUAACGGCUUACCAAGGCUACGAUCUGUAUCCGGUCUAAGAGGACGGUCGGACACACUGACACUGAAUAACGGGUCAGACUCCUACGGGAGGCAGCAGUC